AUUCGGAGUACCGUCAACAGACUCAAGGAGAGGAGAAAAGCGCUACAUUUUUCAAAUUGCGCAAGUUCUCGACCAUCAAGCUCAGUAACCAACUCACGCCCUGCUAGUUUGCCACUUGGAGCAAAUGCAAGUCAAGAAGAUGAGGCCUCCGUUAGUACAUCAGGCCAGGGGACGGAGACGGAGAAGACCAGAGGUCCACCGUGCAGCUCCGGUCUUUUAAAGAACUGUGAAAUGCCAACAAUUUUGGUCUCCAAAGUCCCUCAUCAAGACACAGAGGGGCCCUCUCCUCCUAAUGGGACCAUUCCUUUGACUGGUUGUAUUCUUCACAUUCCCAUAGAGCUGGAGUUCGCAGCGUCCUGUUUCUCCCGACGGCCUCAGAACAACUCCCAACCUCGUCUGUGCUGA
rnacentral:lncRNA from 1 species